CUUACUCUAUGAGUCGAACGCUCGCAAUUGUUCAACUAUUUUUCCAUGUGACAGGAGGGCUCUUUGAGAUUAAUCUGCUUUCUCUCUAGUAGGUUUACUAGCAGAAGUUUUAUUAUGAUUUUAUUUUCCUAUUUUCUAAUAUAGAACUCUGCAUAUGCUAGUAGUAUUCUAAUUUUGAUUUGAGACUGUAAUAAUCUAUUUCCUUGAAGUUGUAAAUAUAUUAUAUGGUUAUGUUAGUCUGAAUGGAAUGAGUAUUUGCUUGGG
rnacentral:misc_RNA from 1 species